rnacentral:rRNA from 1 species
UGAUACUAAGCCAUGCGAGUCAUUGUAGUAAUACAAGGCAGACGGCUCAGUAACGCGUAGUCAACCUAACCUAUGGACGGGGAUAACCUCGGGAAACUGAGAAUAAUACCCGAUAGAACAUUAUGCCUGGAAUGGUUUAUGUUUCAAAUAAUUUAUUGCCGUAGGAUGGGACUGCGGCCUAUCAGUUUGUUGGUGAGGUAAUGGCCCACCAAGACUAUUACAGGUACGGGCUCUGAGAGGAGUAGCCCGGAGAUGGGUACUGAGACACGGACCCAGGCCCUAUGGGGCGCAGCAGGCGAGAAAACUUUGCAAUGUGCGAAAGCACGACAAGGUUAAUCCGAGUGGUUUCUGCUAAAGGAACCUUUUGCCAGUCCUAGAAACACUGGUGAGUAAGGGGUGGGCAAGUUCUGGUGUCAGCCGCCGCGGUAAAACCAGCACCUCAAGUGGUCAGGAUGAUUAUUGGGCCUAAAGCAUCCGUAGCCUGCUUUGUUAGUUUUCGGUUAAAUCCAUUCGCUCAACGAAUGGGCUGCCGGGAAUACUGCAAAGCUAGGGAGUGGGAGAGGUAGACGGUACUCGGUAGGAAGGGGUAAAAUCCUUUGAUCUAUUGAUGACCACCUGUGGCGAAGGCGGUCUACCAGAACACGUCCGACGGUGAGGGAUGAAAGCUGGGGGAGCAAACCGGAUUAGAUACCCGGGUAGUCCCAGCUGUAAACUAUGCAAACUCAGUGAUGCAUUGGCUUGAUGCCAAUGCAGUGCUGCAGGGAAGCCGUUAAGUUUGCCGCCUGGGAAGUACGUACGCAAGUAUGAAACUUAAAGGAAUUGGCGGGGGAGCACCACAAGGGGUGAAGCCUGCG